rnacentral:rRNA from 1 species
AUCGAACGCUGGCGGCAGGCCUAACACAUGCAAGUCGAGCGGAUGACGGGAGCUUGCUCCUUGAUUCAGCGGCGGACGGGUGAGUAAUGCCUAGGAAUCUGCCUGGUAGUGGGGGACAACGUUUCGAAAGGAACGCUAAUACCGCAUACGUCCUACGGGAGAAAGCAGGGGACCUUCGGGCCUUGCGCUAUCAGAUGAGCCUAGGUCGGAUUAGCUAGUUGGUGGGGUAAUGGCUCACCAAGGCGACGAUCCGUAACUGGUCUGAGAGGAUGAUCAGUCACACUGGAACGGAGACACGGUCCAGACUCCUACGGGAGGCAGCAGUGGGGAAUAUUGGACAAUGGGCGAAAGCCUGAUCCAGCCAUGCCGCGUGUGUGAAGAAGGUCUUCGGAUUGUAAAGCACUUUAAGUUGGGAGGAAGGGCAGUAAGUUAAUACCUUGCUGUUUUGACGUUACCGACAGAAUAAGCACCGGCUAACUCUGUGCCAGCCGCCGCAGUAA